AUUAUAACUUAGUCAGGUAUUAUAUUUAAACUCAGUGAGGUAUCAUAUAGUAAUAUUAUAACCCAGUGAUACAGUAUUACGAUAUAACCAAGUGAGGUAUCAUAAUAUUAUUACCACCACACAGGGAGGUAUUAUAUAGUAUUAUUAUAACCCAGUAAGAUAUUAUAUUAUUAUGAUAACCCAGUAAGGUAUAUCAUAUUAUAACUUGGUGAGGGAUUAUACAGCAUUAUUAUAUUAUAACCCAGUGAGAUAUUUUACUGCAUUAUUAAAGGACAAGCCAGUGAAGUCUUAUACCGCAUUAUUACAAGACAAUGAGGUAUUAUUAUAUUAUAAAUCAGUGAGGUAUUAUACAGCAUUAUUGUACAGUAAACCAGCGAGGUAUUAUAUUAUAAGCCAGUGAGGCAUUAUUAUAAAGCAUUAUAUAAUAAAAUCAGUGAAAUAUUAUACAGC